rnacentral:rRNA from 1 species
AUUGAACGCUGGCGGCAUGCUUUACACAUGCCAGUCGAACGGUAACAGGCCGCAAGGUGCUGACGAGUGGCGAACGGGUGAGUAAUGCAUCGGAACGUGCCCAGUCGUGGGGGAUAACUACUCGAAAGAGUAGCUAAUACCGCAUACGAUCUAUGGAUGAAAGCGGGGGACCGUAAGGCCUCGCGCGAUUGGAGCGGCCGAUGUCAGAUUAGGUAGUUGGUGGGGUAAAGGCUCACCAAGCCAACGAUCUGUAGCUGGUCUGAGAGGACGACCAGCCACACUGGGACUGAGACACGGCCCAGACUCCUACGGGAGGCAGCAGUGGGGAAUUUUGGACAAUGGGCGCAAGCCUGAUCCAGCAAUGCCGCGUGCAGGAAGAGGGCCUUCGGGUUGUAAACUGCUUUUGUACGGAACGAAACGGCUCUGGUUAAUACCCGGGGCUAAUGACGGUACCGUAAGAAUAAGCACCGGCUAACUACGUG